GACGAACGCUGGCGGCGUGCUUAACACAUGCAAGUCGAGCGAGGCCCUUCCUUCGGGAAGGUGCCCUAGCGGCGAACGGGUGAGUAACACGUGGGCAAUCUGCCCCUAGCACUGGGAUAACUCCGGGAAACCGGGGCUAAUACCGGAUAUGACCUCUGAGGGCAUCCUCUGGAGGUGGAAAGGAUUCUGGCUAGGGAUGAGCCCGCGGCCUAUCAGCUUGUUGGUGGGGUAAGGCCUACCAAGGCGACGACGGGUAGCCGGCCUGAGAGGGCGACCGGCCACACUGGGACUGAGACACGGCCCAGACUCCUACGGGAGGCAGCAGUGGGGAAUACUGCACAAUGGGCGAAAGCCUGAUGCAGCGACGCCGCGUGAGCGAUGAAGCCCGUU
rnacentral:rRNA from 1 species